GGAGGGAGUACAUGUUUGGAUGUUGUUGUUGGUUACAAAAUGCCAAAACAAUAGAGGGUGGCUCUAGAACAAGGCACUUGUCCAAAAAGCUUCUAGGGGACUGAGUGACUAGAAUGUUGUGUCUUGAGUGAACCCAGGACUCAUCUAUUUAUAGCCUCAAUGGGCCGAGCCUUUUUGGGUAGAAGACCCUUCUACCGUCGGUACGAUUGAUAUGAACCCGCUAGGGUUGAUUCCCGAUCUUUCGAUAAGAGGCGUGGGAUAACUC
rnacentral:lncRNA from 1 species